rnacentral:rRNA from 1 species
CCUACGGGCGGCAGCAGUAGGGAAUAUUGCUCAAUGGGGGAAACCCUGAAGCAGCAACGCCGCGUGGAGGAUGAAGGUUUUCGGAUUGUAAACUCCUUUUGUUAGAGAAGAUAAUGACGGUAUCUAACGAAUAAGCACCGGCUAACUCCGUGCCAGCAGCCGCGGUAAUACGGAGGGUGCAAGCGUUACUCGGAAUCACUGGGCGUAAAGAGCGCGUAGGCGGGUUAGCAAGUCAGAUGUGAAAUCCUAGGGCUUAACCAUAGAACUGCAUUUGAAACUGUUAUUCUAGAGUAUGGGAGAGGUAGGGGGAAUUCUGGGUGUAGGGGUAAAAUCCGUAGAGAUCAAGAGGAAUACUCAUUGCGAAGGCGACCUGCUAGAACAUAACUGACGCUGAUGCGCGAAAGCGUGGGGAGCAAACAGGAUUAGAUACCCUUGUGUC